UGCGCAGGCGGUUUUGUAAGACAGAUGUGAAAUGCCCGGGCUCAACCUGGGAACUGCAUUUGUGACUGCAAGGCUAGAGUUUGGCAGAGGGGGGUAGAAUUCCACGUGUAGCAGUGAAAUGCGUAGAUAUGUGGAGGAAUACCGAUGGCGAAGGCAGCCCCCUGGGUCAAGACUGACGCUCAUGCACGAAAGCGUGGGGAGCAAACAGGAUUAGAUACCCUGGUAGUCCACGCCCUAAACGAUGUCUACUAGUUGUCGGGUCUUAAUUGACUUGGUAACGCAGCUAACGCGUGAAGUAGACCGCCUGGGGAGUACGGUCGCAAGAUUAAA
rnacentral:rRNA from 1 species